GUAAGCACCUCAAGUUUACCUGUACGUAGUUUCUUUGAGUUGAAGAACUUGUCUUAUGGUUUCUCCCAAUAACCACAACUUAUAUGGAAAGCAUUCAGUGAGAGGAAAGUCUCGGGGUGAGUGAGGUCAACUUAUAAUUAGAUAUUAUUUCAUAUUAUUGAAGUGAAGUGAGUCAACAUCCUAUACAUUUCUUCAUGACUCUGUAAGUGCAACUCUUUUUUGUUUUCUAGAUUUUUUUUUGUUGUUUGGUUUUAAGGUGAGACGGCAUGCAGUAAAUCCUCAUGGUUUGAUAUUUUUUCGUAUUUCGUACAUAACAAGAGUUUUUAUAUAUCGAGGUGCCCCAGUUUUGAUUUUUAGUGUUCAAAUCUAUUUGAUCUUGUACUGAUUCUACUCUUAUCUAAAUUUCAAAAUUCCUCGUUUCUGACAAUUUGAAUUUUGUUGUUAUGGAUGAUUGAACCUCGGAUUGUGUAAAUGCACGCUUUCAGUAUGUAUUAGUAAUUGAUAUGUAUAUUAUCGGAAGAAUUAAUUUAAAUAGAUGUUCACUCAAUCGCUUAAACUAAAAAUAGUAAUGCAGAUGUAUAAUAGAGAAGUGCAAGUCAAAUAUAAGUAUGUGUGAAACCAAGAUGUAUAAUAGAAGUGUAAGUAAUAUAUAAGUAUGUGUGUAACCACGCACCCAAGGGUGUAACCUAGUUGGUCAAUGAAGUGGAUUGUAAACUUGAGGUUUAUAUUCAAAUUCAAGCAAAGAUAAAAAAAACUCAUAUGUGUCCUAGCUUUGCUGGACAGAGCUACCUAGAUAUCUUGUAGAUUAGGUCAAGGUGCGAAAAACUCCGAUAUCAUGGUUAUCAAGAAAAGAAGUGUAUGAUCAUAUUUAAUUAGUGUAUAGUUUAUGUACUACAGCAUAUUUGUUUCCUGUUCUUCUGUCUCUUCUGUAUGUUUACUUGUUAGUUGUUAUGGUGAAGUCAAAAUAUUUUUGCUAAAAAUGUUUAACAUUUAGUAAUUAUAUAUGUAAAGUAAUUUUUGAAUUAUAUAUACACAAGUAUAAUUUUCUUUAAAUACGAUGUGAUUUUCUUGUAAAGGUUGUUCAAUUUCAGUGUAUUGGCCAUGCAUUGUUGGUAGCCAUUCAGUGGAUACUAAAUUGUAUAAUAUUCAACAAUUCCUCGAUGAGGAAAGGUAUCCGUCCGCCCAUCGUUUUACUAGCCAACUAUAUAUUUUAAUUAUUUUAAGUCAUAUCUCGUCACAGGUUGCCUUCUCAGUAUCGUGGCUCACACCAAAAUCGUGUUUUAUCCAUGGAUAUCCAGUAAAGUUCAAUAGUAUCACACAUGAUACUAGCCACGUAUCUCUAAAUAUAUAUAAAGGGUAUGAAUUCAUUGCAGUAUAUUGCUCUUCAAUUUUUUUUAAAAAAACUUUAAUUUGAAGAAUUCAGUCAAAAGGAGGGAAAAAACUGUUAGGCUCGCCAAGGCCAAGCUUCGGACAUUUUUUUUUUUUCUUGAAGUUUAAUUUUUAUGCACGUCGCUAGCAUCACUUACCAGAAAUCCAAAAUGUUCCUAAUUGUCCAGACGUAAGUUAAAAACAAUCUCCAAAGAAAUAAAGAGGGGCAUUUGCACAAAUAACCUUUUUCAAGACAACCAUUUAUGCGUUGUUUCCCCUUAGCCCAGUAAGAUAAUAAAUAUGUUUGUAAUUAAUGGAAAAUUCAUCCAAGGCGAAAAUAAAAUGUGUCCUCAAUCCAAAGAAUACUGCAAAGAAUGAUAUGAUAGAGCAAAUUUCAAAGAGUGAAUGGUAGUAACUCAUAGCAUAAGAAUUUCAAACUAUGUGAAGCAGUUGUAGCAUAUAGUGUGUAGAGUAUUCCUCAAGAAUGAGUUUAAUUCUCAAAAAUAAAGGCAUAAGCCCAUAUAACUCCCCUCUCGAGUCGUAUAUGUCAAGUACAGAAAUCAAUUAAUCAUCAUCCAAUAGAAACAAGUAAUAAGAUCAUGUGACAUGCAACAAUAACACUGAAUAUAUAGAACUGCGAAGCAAACAGAUGAAUAAUUAGGUUUAUUGAAACUGCACGUAUUAGCUAUUUCUGGAAACACCUUGACUUUAUGAUAAUUUUGCAGGUUAUUCCCUUGGAGCCUCUACAAGGAACUAUUUGACAAAUACAAGGAUAAUCACAAGAGGAAAUUCAGGGUCACUCUCUGUGGUGGAAGGUCAGACAUUUCAUUCACUUUUCUAUUUUUCUUCAUCCCAGCUAUCUGCAAUAUGGGCAUAAUGCAUAUUGUUUGUUAGAAAAAAACAUGGAAGAGGUCUAAUUUGUCAUAGCAGAAUCUAAGAAAACUUUGGUGAGGUAACACUUUACAUUGUCCUCCAGAAGUUUGUUUUCCUCUCGCAGCAGUUUUUCCUGCAAUAAUUAAGGGAUAUUGAUAAUGUGCAGUCUGAUGGAAAAUUUCACAUGAUAUAAUUCAUCCUUAAACAAUAAAAGAUAUAUGAUGACAGCUGUUGAUUACAAAGCUACAUAGUGCUGUAGAAAGCAGGGGAGGGCUAUUAACUUGAAGGAGUGGAGACAAUUAUAUGAGAUUUGAUCAGAGAUGCCUAGAGUAUUAAGUCCAAUAGUCAAUUAAGUCUUAACAUACUUUAUUCUAUCGAGAAACUACGAGGACAAGUGAAUGUUCUGUGCCUCUUUAUACUCCUUUUCCAAAAUAAGCUAAUCUAGUAUAUUAAGCUUACGCAAUUUGUGACUGACAUUAGCAUGCAAGAGCUACUGACUAGUCAGUUGAAAACUAUGUUGCUCGGACCCUCCAAAAAUUUUUGCCGCACUCUUGUUGGAUCCUCCAAAAACGCAUAGCUUUUGAAGGAUCCGGCACACACCAGGCGAUACUUCUGAAGAGUUCAAGCAACAUAGGAUAAAAGAUGCUAGUUUUUCUGAUAUAUGAAGGUUUGAAUAGGCUAAGCCUAAAUCUAACGCACCUUGAUCUGCGCAUCAAAGUUCAGGGCAAAACCAAACUCAUUACUUCAGGAAAAACUAGUAUUCAGGAUGUUGUGUAGUUCAGUAGUUCCUGAAGAUGCAGUAGGAUAGCUUACCAGAAACAAAGCAAUGAAGUGUCAAUGGAAAUGAAAACGUACUUGCUCAUGAAGAUCCUUAACAGAUUCAAGCAGCAAAUGUGUCUGCAUAAAACAAAACUACUUAGAUUUAAUAUGCUUCAUUUUGAGGUACUAACUCAAGCAGAGCCAGAUUAAAAUACUGAAAUUAAACACUAUUCAUAAAUCUUAAAACAAAUGCGAACACUAUUCAAUAAAACAAAUCAGAUGCUUAUAAAAAGAAAAAGCGAAAGUAAACAAAAAAAAAGGUAUAGCUGGAGGAGUUCACUAAUAAUUGUGGUUUCUCGAUAUUUGGAUUAUAAAAUAAACCAUGAAACAUAGCAAUUAGCAUUAGAUCAUAUAGAGUUUUGAGAGAGGUGAAUGAAAACAACAAAUGAGGUACUUACCUAAGGGUUUUCAUGUCUGAAAGCACAUCGACGCUGUGACAGCUUCUAGUAUUAGUAAAGGUAGAGGACUAAGAAGGGAAGCCUGGUCCUUUUUAUGUUUAUUGUAACACAAUGUAAUUCCAAUAAGCAAAGGAACAGAGCAAAGUAAAACACCUUUCUAGAUCUGGUUUGUAUUAGAGUAGUUUGAAGUUCAUUUUCCAAAUGUACAAGGUCAGUCACAGUGAGACCAUCAGCAUUAGUUUCCUCGAAUUGCCUGUUAAGUUAAGACAGAAUCAGUCAUAUAAGCUAUCAGAAUCAGUCAUAUAAGCUCUAAGAAACAAAAGUAAAGAACAAGAUCAGUACCUUUCUGUUGCUUGUAGCAGUUCUCCCAUUGUCAUGAACCUUGAGUAUUUAGACAGCUAUUUCCACCUCAAAAUGAUUAGCAAACUUUCAGCACAAAAAAUAUAAAACUGAUUGUUAAAGAUAAAACUGAAUAACAACCAAAUGAUUACUGUGGAUACAUUGCAACAUACACAAUCAACAAGAAGAUAUUUCUUUGAUAGGUACAUUUUAGUUGAACAGCAGCAUGACUUUGAUGCACUAUGACAAAGAGUAAGUAUUAUUAAUAAUUUGGACCUUCGAGUCUGGGAGGCACGCCAGUGUGCAUAUUUAAUAUAUUUUUGGACUUGUUAAAAAUACAGGAAGUUACAUAUUAACUUAAGAACUUAUUUCAAGUAGAGAGGAUCUGGCUCAUUAGAUUAUAACUUGAUAGCAGUCAACUAAUCAAGUACCUCCGAGACCUGGAUUUCUGGAGAGAUCUCUUUUGCUGCUUCGACGUGCCUUUCGUAUCUUUGAAGUAUCCCUGUCAUACUGGAAAACAUAUUAUCAGAAAUGCUUGCUGGUGGAUAAGUAUAAGGAAAUAUUAUGCGGGAGCAGAUCAAUUUUGUAUAGGUUUUAACUUAAGAGUGUAUCAGAAAACGAACACUAUGUUGAUCACUUUGUUGUUUUAUAAAUAAAUACUAUAAUAUAUUUAUAAUGACAAAAACAUUUUCUUGGUUGCUAG
rnacentral:lncRNA from 1 species